rnacentral:lncRNA from 1 species
CUCAGUACUUGCUACCUUUGUGACAACAGUAAUGACCUCACUUCCUUUUGUUACUUGUCUUUCCUUUCUAGUCUCACUGUUUCUCUAAUGCCUCCAAUUAUUAUGCCUCAAAGCAUUCAUUAUUUGCUUUUUAAAAAUUUGUUCUCUCGAGUUUAACUUCCCAGGAUGGACCUUAGCUCUCUCUCUCCCUCCCCUUCCAACUUAUUACGUAGAGCCACACUCUUUAUUGCCUACCGCGCUUUGGAAAACCCGCCUACGGAGCUCAGGCAACGGUCAGUUUCUUUGUGAAGAACUUGCCUAUUCCUCAAGUUAGUUUUCCUCUCCUUUCUUCUAUGCACAAAGAUCCCUAUUGACAUGUGUAGCUUUCCUUACUGUAUUACAUUUCAAAACACACCAGCAAAAUCUUUUCUGCCUUUUCUGGAAGAGUGAAUCCUCCAAGGAUAAGUAAGAGCUGGCUACAUUAGCUUUUUGAGUUCUAAAUACUGCAUAUAUAGAGUAAUAGAAGAUAGGGAGGAAGGAUUUUUUUUUUUUUUUUUGGUACCGGGUAUCGAACUUGGGACCUUGCACUUGCAAGGCAGGUGGAGCCACUAAACUAAAU